UAUCCACCCCUGAUCCACUCCCACCCCUGUCCUCUGCCCCCUAGAUCUCCUUGCCGCCGCCACCUCCGCCUCUCACCCCUCCUCCGCCUUUCUCUCCCCCAUUCGCGUCGCCUCUCCUUCUCCUCCCCCUCCACCUCCCCGUGUCUCGAGAAACCCUCCCAUGGCGGAGUCGCCCGAGAACUCCACUGCGGUGCCCGCUCCACCCGCCGCUCCUUCUCUAGCCCCUCCCGCCCAUCCGCCCGCCCCCCUAGGUUCCACCAUGGCGCCACUCGUCUUGGCUCAUGUCCUGCUAGCGCGGCCUGGCCGGCAUCGUCGGAGGGAACAAGGCUAAGGUCUCGGCCGAGGUCGCCCCGGAUCCGGAGGACGCCACCGAGCACGGGCGUCGGGGGGAGGCCGAUGAGGAGACGCGGCGGUAAGAUUGUCAAGCACGACCUCUAGUCCAAGGAGCUCCCCAACACCGCAUCGAGCCUGACUGCCGGUGGUUAGGAAAUACACGAGUUAUCAAUCAGAAAAAACUUGAAUAUUUUAGGCAAGAACUCCAGGCAAGGCUUACAAAUAACUACAGUAUGUUAAUGAAAUCUAAACAGCUGCCACUAUCGCUUCUACAGGAUCAUCAGAAGGUUCGCUCAUGUUGAUUAUACAGCAAGCUCGUGCACAUCUUCUUGACACUGAACCUUUUGAGCAUGCCGCCGCCGUCUCCGUCAUGCGCCCUCCACUCGAGUGCGGCAGAAUCACCUUCUCUUCCUCGCUCAAGCAGGAUAUGGAUGACUAUCUGGACGUAUGCAGGUUUCUUCCGAAACUUAACAAUGAGAUACUAGGUGAAAGAAAUGCUCCCUACAAGGAAAGGUUGGGCAGCCUAGAGAAUUUAGUACUGAUCAUGGGGUGAUCGUCGUGGACUACCGCAACCCGGUGGGCAUCGUGCUCUUCAACAACUCGGAGACGGACUUCACCGUGAAGGCCAGCGACUGUGUCACACCGAUGAUUGUCCCGGUGAUUGUGACACCGGAGGUCGCUGAGGUGGAGGACCUUGACGCCACCGUCCGGAGGUCGUCGAGGUGGAGGACCUCGAUGCCACCGUCUGGAGGUUGCCGAGGUGAAGGACCUCGACGCCUUGGUAGAUACAUUUAGAGAAGAGGUCUGCUUAGGUUGGUGGUGGGACGCUAGGGAAGGUACCUAUCUUUCGUGAUGGUUGUGUGCAUCUGAUAUAUAAAUGGAAUCUCAUGAUUUCUUUGAGUUGAGAUUUUCAAUGUUGUAUACAUGAACGCUGCAAGUGCUAAGAGUGUAAGUGCUAAGAUGGUUCUAUGACCUUUGCACUGGAUGUGUCUUGAUUACCAUCCAUAAA